UGGCAUAUCAAAAAGCGGAGGAAAAGAAACCAACAGGGAUUGCCUCAGUAACGGCGAGUGAAGCGGCAAAAGCUCAAAUUUGGAAUCUCAGUCUUUCAGGCUGCGAGUUGUAAUUUGAAGACGUAUUUUGAAGUAAGCACAUGUCGAAGUUCCUUGGAACAGGACGUCACAGAGGGUGAGAAUCCCGUGCGAUGUGUUCACUGCUUCAUGUAAAAUGCAGUCGAAGAGUCGAGUUGUUUGGGAAUGCAGCUCUAAGUGGGUGGUAAAUUCCAUCUAAAGCUAAAUAUUGGCGAGAGACCGAUAGCGAACAAGUACAGUGAUGGAAAGAUGAAAAGAACUUUGAAAAGAGAGUGAAAAAGUACGUGAAAUUGUUGAAAGGGAAGGGCUUGAGAUCAGACUCGGGCAACCGGGCCAGCAUGGGGUGGGGGAGUAGGAUAACCCUGCAGGAAAGUGGCUUCGCUUCGGUGGAGUGUUAUAGCCUGUAGCUAUACUGCUACCCUCGCCCGAGGACUGCGGAAACAAGGAUGCUGGCAUAAUGAUCUUAAGCCGCCCGUCUUGAAACACGGACCA
rnacentral:rRNA from 1 species